GACGAACGCUGGCGGCGUGCCUAAUACAUGCAAGUCGAGCGAAUCACUGGGAGCUUGCUCCCGGUGGUUAGCGGCGGACGGGUGAGUAACACGUGGGCAACCUGCCUGUAAGACUGGGAUAACACCGGGAAACCGGUGCUAAUACCGGAUAAUCCUUUUCCUCUCAUGAGGGAAAGCUGAAAGUCGGUUUCGGCUGACACUUACAGAUGGGCCCGCGGCGCAUUAGCUAGUUGGUGAGGUAACGGCUCACCAAGGCGACGAUGCGUAGCCGACCUGAGAGGGUGAUCGGCCACACUGGGACUGAGACACGGCCCAGACUCCUACGGGAGGCAGCAGUAGGGAAUCUUCCACAAUGGACGAAAGUCUGAUGGAGCAACGCCGCGUGAGCGAUGAAGGCCUUCGGGUCGUAAAGCUCUGUUGUUAGGGAAGAACAAGUACCGGAGUAACUGCCGGUACCUUGACGGUACCUAACCAGAAAGCCACGGCUAACUACGUGCCAGCCGCCGCAGUAAAAC
rnacentral:rRNA from 1 species